CCCUUAGAUGCUCUGGGCCGCACGCGCGCUACACUGGUCGAUGCAACGAGUUUCUUUCCUUGGCCGACAGGCCUGGGCAAUCUUUGAACAUCGAUCGUGAUCGGGAUAGAUUCUUGUAAUUUUUGAUCUUAAACGAGGAAUUCCUAGUAAACGCAAGUCAUCAGCUUGCAUUGAUUACGUCCCUGCCCUUUGUACACAUCGCCCGUCGCACCUACCGAUUGAAUGGUCCGGUGAAAUCUCCGGACUGGCGUGAGUCGGAGCAAUCUGACAAACACCGGAAAGUUGAUUAAACCUUACCAUUUAGAGGAAGGUGAAGUCGUAACA
rnacentral:rRNA from 1 species